rnacentral:rRNA from 1 species
ACGGGUGAGUAAUGUCUGGGGAUCUGCCCGAUAGAGGGGGAUAACCACUGGAAACGGUGGCUAAUACCGCAUAACGUCGCAAGACCAAAGAGGGGGACCUUCGGGCCUCUCACUAUCGGAUGAACCCAGAUGGGAUUAGCUAGUAGGCGGGGUAACGGCCCACCUAGGCGACGAUCCCUAGCUGGUCUGAGAGGAUGACCAGCCACACUGGAACUGAGACACGGUCCAGACUCCUACGGGAGGCAGCAGUGGGGAAUAUUGCACAAUGGGCGCAAGCCUGAUGCAGCCAUGCCGCGUGUAUGAAGAAGGCCUUCGGGUUGUAAAGUACUUUCAGCGGGGAGGAAGGCGAUGUGGUUAAUAACCGCGUCGAUUGACGUUACCCGCAGAAGAAGCACCGGCUAACUCCGUGCCAGCAGCCGUGGUAAUACGGAGGGUGCAAGCGUUAAUCGGAAUUACUGGGCGUAAAGCGCACGCAGGCGGUCUGUUAAGUCAGAUGUGAAAUCCCCGGGCUUAACCUGGGAACUGCAUUUGAAACUGGCAGGCUUGAGUCUCGUAGAGGGGGGUAGAAUUCCAGGU